rnacentral:RNase_P_RNA from 1 species
UAAGUAAGAUAAAUGGUCGCGGCUGGCGGACCGAAAGGUGCCAGACGAGGAAAGUCCGGGCUUCACAGGGCAGGGAUGCCGGAUAACGUCCGGUGGAGGUGACUCUAAGGAUAGUGCAACAGAAAUGAACCGCCGGCUUUUGCCGGUAAGGGUGGAAGGGCAGUGUAAGAGACUACCGCUCCCCCGGCAACGGGAGAGGCAUAUGUAAACCCCAUCCGAAGCAAGACCGCAAUGAAGCAUAUGGCUGCCCGUCAGCUUCAGGUAGGUCGCUGGAGCCUGCCGGCAACGGCAGGCCUGGAUAGAUGACCAUUCACGACAUAACCCGGCUUAUCGUUUUGCUUACCCU